CAGUCUUCUGUCGAUCCAUCUUGGCUUGUUCUUUAAGUUUGGCCAACUGCAACGCCCCUGUUGGAGACACUGGAAUAGGGGCAUUGAUCAUUCUACUUUAUGUUUGUUAUUGAGGUCAGUGAAUGGUGGUGGAGUACUGGAGUGCAUUAUAUUGAGCUGCGUUCCCUAUAUUUAUGUCUAAUUCUGUCACAUACAUUACAUUCAUUGCACUCCAGUACACCAGCACAAUACUCCCAAUGCUCUUGUACAUAUAGUGUAUGCAGAAAAUGAGAACAUUUAGAAAUAGUAUGUGCCACAAUCAACCAAAGGACUACGAAUAAACAGAGUGAACACAGGUUGGAAAUCUGCUGCCAAAGUGAUUAGUAGAAUUGACAGAUUUAACAACCACAGCCAAAACUUCUGCUGCAAAGCAAUUUAUUUAUUUACUGUGAUGGUGGGAGGAGUUCAUUUCAAGCCCUGCUGGCGAAAGUAGUCAAAAUAAUAAUUAAGAAAAUAACUAGACUUACUUAGUUUCUUCGGGGAAUAUUUGACUAACUUCUUUUUCUUUGGUGGAAUAGGGACCUCUUCCACAUCUUGUGUCUCGUCCUCGUUCGCCUCCUCCCCGACUUGUGGCAGGGCUUCCUCAGCUUACUCAGCCUUCGUCACCCCACUAUGCGCCCUUUUUUUGAAACGGGUGUCCAUCUAGCUACAGCUGUGUAAAGCAAAGAACACCAGCACCAUGUCAUGGCAGCUAACGUUACAAUAGUUGAGGCAACUUUGGCAAACGUAAUGUUGUAGUUGUUUAGAAUUAGCUAGAUGAAAACUGGGGGAAAAACUAUAGCCUGUAGGCUGCCGUUAAAAUACUUGAACAUAAAGGCUAACUAGGGGCGGCACGGUGGUGUGGUGGUUAGCACUCUCGCCCCACGCAAGAGGGUUGCCGGUUCGAUCCCGGGCGUGGGAGCCCUUCUGUGCGGAGUUUGCAUGUUCUCCCCGUGUCAGUGUGGGUUCUCUCCGGGUACUCCGGCUUCCUCCCACAGUCCAAAGACAUGCAGAUUGGGGACUAGGUUAAUUGAUAACUCUAAAUUGUCCGUAGGUGUGAAUGUGAGCGUGAAUGGUUGUUUGUCUCUAUGUGUCAGCCCUGCGAUAGUCUGGCGACCUGUCCAGGGUGUACCCUGCCUCUCGCCCAAUGUCAGCUGGGAUAGGCUCCAGCCCCCCCGCGACCCUCAAGAGGAUGAAGCGGUUAGAAGAUGAAUGAAUGAAUGAAUAAA